GAUGAACGCUGGCGGCGUGCCUAAUACAUGCAAGUCGAGCGAAUGGAUUAAGAGCUUGCUCUUAUGAAGUUAGCGGCGGACGGGUGAGUAACACGUGGGUAACCUGCCCAUAAGACUGGGAUAACUCCGGGAAACCGGGGCUAAUACCGGAUAACAUUUUGAACCCCAUGGUUCGAAAUUGAAAGGCGGCUUCUGCUGUCACUUAUGGAUGGACCGGCGUCGCAUUAGGUAGUUGGUGAGGUAACGGAUCACCAAGGCAACGAUGCGUAGCCGACCUGAGAGGGUGAUCGGCCACACUGGGACUGAGACACGGCCCAGACUCCUACGGGAGGCAGCAGUAGGGAAUCUUCCGCAAUGGACGAAAGUCUGACGGAGCAACGCCGCGUGAGUGAUGAAGGCUUUCGGGUCGUAAAACUCUGUUGUUAGGGAAGAACAAGUGCUAGUUGAAUAAGCUGGCACCUUGACGGUACCUAACCAGAAAGCCACGGCUAACUACGUGCCAGCCGCCGCGGUAA
rnacentral:rRNA from 1 species